CCUACGAGCGGCAGCAGUGAGGAAUAUUGGUCAAUGGGCGCGAGCCUGAACCAGCCACGUCGCGUGAAGGAUGACUGCCCUACGGGUUGUAAACUUCUUUUAUAAAGGCAUACAGUUAGGCACGUGUGCCUUUUUGUAUGUCCUUUAUGAUUACGGAUCGGCUAACUCCGUGCCAGCAGCCGCGGGCAUACGGUGGAUCCGAGCUUUAUCCGGAUUUGUUGGGUUUAAAGGGCGGGUAGAUGGGUUGUUAAGUCAGUUGUGAAAGUUUGCGGCCCAACCGUCAAAUUGCAAUUGAUACUGGCAGUCUUGAGUACAGUUGAGGUAGGCGGAAUUCGAGGUGUAGCGGUGAAAUGCGUAGAUAUCACGAAGAACACCGAUUGCGAAGGCAGCUUACUAAACUUCCACUGACGUUGAUGCUCGAAAGUGUGGGUAUCAAACAGGAUUAGAUACCCGAGUAGUC
rnacentral:rRNA from 1 species